UACGAAGGGGGCUAGCGUUGCUCGGAAUCACUGGGCGUAACGCGCACGUAGGCGGAUUGCUAAGUCAGGGGUGAAAUCCUGGAGCUCAACUCCAGAACUGCCUUUGAUACUGGCGACCUUGAGUCCGGGAGAGGUGAGUGGAACUGCGAGUGUAGAGGUGAAAUUCGUAGAUAUUCGCAAGAACACCCGUGGCGAAGGCGGCUCUCUGGGACGGUACUGACGCUGAGACGCGAAAGCGUGGGGAGCGAACAGG
rnacentral:rRNA from 1 species